CACACGGGUGAGUAUUAUCACGAUUAUGUGCCUCUUGGAUCGGGAUAGCCAUUGGAAACGAUGAUUAAUACCGGAUACUCUCUUACCAAACGGUAGUUGGGAAAUGGAUUCCGCCAAGGGAUCGGUCUAUAUCCCAUCAGGUAGUUGGUAGUGUAAGAGACUACCAAGCCGAUGACGGGUAGCGGGUUUGAGAGGAUGAUCCGCCACACUGGUACUGAGACACGGACCAGACUCCUACGGGAGGCAGCAGUGAGGAAUAUUGCACAAUGGGGGAAACUCUGAUGCAGCAACGCCGCGUGAAGGAUGAAGGCCUAACGGUUGUAAACUUCUUUUCUGAAGGAGCAUAAUGAGAGUACUUCAGGAAUAAGGGACGGCUAAAUACGUGCCAGCAGCCGCGGUAAUACGUAUGUCUCAAGCGUUACCCGAAUCACUGGGUGUAAAGGGUUCGUAGGCGGUUUAAAAAGUUGAAUAUGAAAGACCGAAGCUCAACUUCGUGUUUGUAUUCAAAACUGCAAGGCUAGAAUCAGGGAGAGGUAAGCGGAAUUCUGAGUGUAGGGGUGCAAUCCGUAGAUACUCAGAGGAACACCAAAAGCGAAGGCAGCUUACUGGAACUGUAUUGACGCUCAGGAACGAAAGCGUGGGUAGCGAAAAGGAUUAGAUACCCUUGUAGUCCACGCCCUAAACGAUGAUAACUAAGUGUUGCUCCUUGCGGGCAGUGCUGAAGCUAACGCGAUAAGUUAUCCACCUGAGGAGUACGGUCGCAAGAUUAAAACUCAAAGGAAUAGACGGGGACCCACACAAGCAGUGGAUCACGUGGUUUAAUUCGACAAUAAACGGGGAACCUUACCCAGACUUGACAUCCUAGGAAUUUCUCAGAAAUGAGAGAGUGCUUUUAUUAGAACCUAGUGACAGGUGCUGCAUGGUUGUCGUCAGCUCGUGCCUUGAGGUGUUCGGUUAAGUCCGUUAACGAGCGCAACCCAUGUCUUUAGUUAUUAUGUCUAAAGAGACUGCCUAUGUUAAAUAGGAGGAAGGUGUGGAUGACGUCAAAUCAGCAUGGCUUUUACGUCUGGGGCUACACACAUGAUACAAUGGUCUGUACAAAGAGCAGCGAUACCGCGAGGUGGAGCCAAUCUUCAAAGCAGAUCUAAGUCCGGAUUGAGGUCUGCAACUCGACCUCAUGAAGUUGGAAUUGCUAGUAAUCGUGAAUCAGAUAUGUCACGGUGAAUGUGUUCCUGGGUCUUGUACUCACCGCCCGUCAUGGCAUGGAAGGA
rnacentral:rRNA from 1 species